UAUUGCUCCGGCUGCCCUGAAUCCCAGCUGGAAUCUGCUUGGUGGCAUCAGCCUUUGCAGGUGAUGGUUUCUCAGCAGGAGCAGCCACAGCCGCAGCUGGUGCUGGUGCUGGCGCUGGUGCAGGUGCAGCUGCAGGUGCUGGUUUAGCAGCUGGCUUAGGGGCCUCAUUGCCUCCAAAAAGGUAACCCAGAGAACUUUGGCCACCACCGGCACUCCCACCACGACUCAUCUUGAU
rnacentral:lncRNA from 1 species